AAUUCCAGAUUGCCACUGUCCAGUAGAUCCUCUCAAGCGAUACGUCAAGCCGUCGUGUAAAGAACAUGUAAGAAGAUUAGUGGUUAUAAAUUACAUUGGAGUGAACGAAAGGUUCCAGUGACGUUAGAGAUCUCAGAUUAUCCUAAAGGAUUUGUUGUUGUCUGUGGUGGUUUUAGCACCAUGCAUCUUUUCACAUCAGAGAGGAAUUGCUGAA
rnacentral:lncRNA from 1 species